rnacentral:rRNA from 1 species
CAACUCUAAGUGGUGGACCACUCGGCUCGG